rnacentral:rRNA from 1 species
CGCUCGAUGUUUUUCUUUUAUAUCGAGUCGAACCUGCCCAGUGAUUUUUAUUUAACGGCCGCAGUACUCUGACUGUGCAAAGGUAGCAUAAUCAUUUGCCUUAUAAUUGAAGGCUAGUAUGAAUGGUUUGACAAGAAUAACGCUGUCUCUUAUAGAUUCUAUAGAAUUUGGUUUUUAGGUGAAGAAACCUAAAUAUAAUUAAAAGACAAGAAGACCCUAUCGAGCUUAAAAUAAUUUUUUUGGUAUAAUGAUAACACCUUACUCAAAAAAAGAUUUUGGUUGGGGCGACUAAGGAACACAAAAAGCUUCCUAUAAACUAUAAUUACUAAUAAGUAUUGAUCCAAAAAGUUUGAUUAACAGAAUUAGUUACCGUAGGGAUAACAGCAUAAUCUUUUCUAAGAGUCCUUAUCGAAGAAAAGGUUUGUGACCUCGAUGUUGGACUAGGGUACCCAGACAGGUGCAGAAGCCUUCAAUGGUUGGUCUGUUCGACCAUUAAUACCCUACA